rnacentral:miRNA from 1 species
CCCGCAGAGGCUUGGAAGUGAAGUUGCGCCCCUCCCAAGCCUCUGCGGUAGGAGG